GAAUGUGAGUAUAGAAGACGAGUCCAGGCACCAGGAGCAUAAUAGCGGUCAGAGAACCAAGUCCAGGACCCCAGGCAGAUUAGCUAGAGUUCAGGCAGGGUGUCAGCGCCAGUGGGGAAGAAAGAAACCAAGGAGCUGGAAUACCGUCUGUAAGUUGAGACAGAAGGAUAGCCAUAUGGCCUGGAAAAAGAUGACAAGUUUGAGGAAAUAGUUUGCAUGUCAGAGGGAACACUCGAGGGACCCUGGCCAGAGGGAGGGAUAUAUCCAGACACCCCAUGUCUGAGUCAGGAUAGGCUCAAAGGUUGCCCAGCACUGGACAUCUUCAAAGAUUUUUAUUACUGUUUAUUGCGUCAGGUGAAAUCAACAACAGCUAAGAAAAAGGAGAAACACAUUACAAUGUAACUAGUAUAAACAGUGGAAAAUCACUGUGGUUUGAAGAAACAAGUUUAACUAAAGAAAUCUGAGGUCUGUGUCUCCUAAAGAGAGGUGACUGUGGAACAGUAACACAGAAUAUCAGAUUUCAAUCUUCAUGUUUCUCCUUUUGAUGGGCACACAAUCCAAAUUCGAGAUUUUAAGGUCCUGCACAAUUUCGUUUCACCCACGUGUCCUUCCUUAUUCCCCGGCCCCUUUCAUGAGACGUGCUCCCUUCCUCCUCCAGUGCCUUAAUGCAGCUUCUCCAGCUUCCGCAGCUCUUUACUCCAAUCCCAGCCAUCUGGGCUCACUUCAGAUCACACCUUCCCUAUGGAGAUGACAAAAUCUGCUCUACUGUAAUGAUGCUGGCAAAGCUUAAUUGUUCUUCACUUAUUUCAUGGCUGUUUGUUUUAUCUUCCCAGCUAAAUAAAUUGCAGUUCUUUUGAAAGAAAGGAUCGGCUGGGUAUGGUGGCUCAUGCCUGUAAUCCCAGCACUUUGGGAGGCCAGAGCAGGCAAGUAACUUGAGCCCAGGAGUUUGAGACCAGCCUGGGUUGCAUGGUGAAACCCCAUCUCUACAAAAAAUACAAAAAUUAGCCAGACAUGGUGGCGUGUACAAGUAGUUUCAGCUACUUGGAGGCUGAGGUGGGAGGAUCACUUGAGCCUGGGAGGCAGAGGCUGCAGUGAGCCGAGAUGUGCAACUGCACUCCAGCCUGGGUGACAGAGUGAGAUCCUGUCUCAAAAAAAAAAAAAAAAAAAAAAAAGAUCAUGUCAAAAGUUUCCUUGUUUCCUUUAUAUCUUUCACAGUGCUCAGAAAAGAGCUGGUCACCAGGUGGCUGCUAGGUAAACAGAAAUCGAUUGAUUGACUCAGCCUGAGUUUAUGUAUUCAAAUUCACAUUUCCUGAAUUAGCAGACAUGGUCUUGUUUUUAAAAUUGACUUUAUAAGAUCUCGUGUUUUCUUAUAUCUGAUGGUGAUGAAAAUG
rnacentral:lncRNA from 1 species